CAUCGUGCUGGUCAAGCAGGGCCAUGAGCCUCCCACCUUCAUUGGAUGGUUCUUCACUUGGGACCCUUACAAGUGGACUGUGAGUGAGGCCUGAAACCCCCAGCCCCACCCUAAUUUGUGGGGAGAGGAACCUGACCUGGCUGGGGAUUGCCAGUGUGUGCGAGAGACCUGGUCUUGUCCUCAGGCCCCUCCUGUGUCCCAUUGGUGCCCCUUCUCCUGCCCUGGCCCUGAUACUUGCCCCGAUUCUUGCUCCAGAGCCACCCGUCCCACAAGGAAGUGGUGGAUGGCAGCCCGGCAGCAGCAUCAACCAUCUCUGAGAUAACAGCAGAAGUCAACAACUUCCGGCUAUCCAGAUGGCCGGGCAAUGGCAGGGCAGGUGCCAUGGCCCUGCAGGCCCUCAAGGGCUCCCAGGACAGCUCAGAGAAUGAUCUGGUGCGAAGCCCCAAGUCGGGUGGCAGCAGAACCAGCAGCUCCGUCA
rnacentral:lncRNA from 1 species